GGGUUGUGAGGUUAAGCGACUAAGCGUACACGGUGGAUGCCCUGGCAGUCAGAGGCGAUGAAGGACGUGCUAAUCUGCGAUAAGCGUCGGUAAGGUGAUAUGAACCGUUAUAACCGGCGAUUUCCGAAUGGGGAAACCCAGUGUGUUUCGACACACUAUCAUUAACUGAAUCCAUAGGUUAAUGAGGCGAACCGGGGGAACUGAAACAUCUAAGUACCCCGAGGAAAAGAAAUCAACCGAGAUUCUCCCAGUAGCGGCGAGCGAACGGGGAGCAGCCCAGAGCCUGAAUCAGUGUGUGUGUUAGUGGAAGCGUCUGGAAAGGCGCGCGAUACAGGGUGACAGCCCCGUACACAAAAAUGCACAUGCUGUGAGCUCGAUGAGUAGGGCGGGACACGUGGUAUCCUGUCUGAAUAUGGGGGGACCAUCCUCCAAGGCUAAAUACUCCUGACUGACCGAUAGUGAACCAGUACCGUGAGGGAAAGGCGAAAAGAACCCCGGCGAGGGGAGUGAAAAAGAACCUGAAACCGUGUACGUACAAGCAGUGGGAGCACGCUUAGGCGUGUGACUGCGUACCUUUUGUAUAAUGGGUCAGCGACUUAUAUUCUGUAGCAAGGUUAACCGAAUAGGGGAGCCGAAGGGAAACCGAGUCUUAACUGGGCGUUAAGUUGCAGGGUAUAGACCCGAAACCCGGUGAUCUAGCCAUGGGCAGGUUGAAGGUUGGGUAACACUAACUGGAGGACCGAACCGACUAAUGUUGAAAAAUUAGCGGAUGACUUGUGGCUGGGGGUGAAAGGCCAAUCAAACCGGGAGAUAGCUGGUUCUCCCCGAAAGCUAUUUAGGUAGCGCCUCGUGAAUUCAUCUCCGGGGGUAGAGCACUGUUUCGGCAAGGGGGUCAUCCCGACUUACCAACCCGAUGCAAACUGCGAAUACCGGAGAAUGUUAUCACGGGAGACACACGGCGGGUGCUAACGUCCGUCGUGAAGAGGGAAACAACCCAGACCGCCAGCUAAGGUCCCAAAGUCAUGGUUAAGUGGGAAACGAUGUGGGAAGGCCCAGACAGCCAGGAUGUUGGCUUAGAAGCAGCCAUCAUUUAAAGAAAGCGUAAUAGCUCACUGGUCGAGUCGGCCUGCGCGGAAGAUGUAACGGGGCUAAACCAUGCACCGAAGCUGCGGCAGCGACGCUUAUGCGUUGUUGGGUAGGGGAGCGUUCUGUAAGCCUGUGAAGGUGUGCUGUGAGGCAUGCUGGAGGUAUCAGAAGUGCGAAUGCUGACAUAAGUAACGAUAAAGCGGGUGAAAAGCCCGCUCGCCGGAAGACCAAGGGUUCCUGUCCAACGUUAAUCGGGGCAGGGUGAGUCGACCCCUAAGGCGAGGCCGAAAGGCGUAGUCGAUGGGAAACAGGUUAAUAUUCCUGUACUUGGUGUUACUGCGAAGGGGGGACGGAGAAGGCUAUGUUGGCCGGGCGACGGUUGUCCCGGUUUAAGCGUGUAGGCUGGUUUUCCAGGCAAAUCCGGAAAAUCAAGGCUGAGGCGUGAUGACGAGGCACUACGGUGCUGAAGCAACAAAUGCCCUGCUUCCAGGAAAAGCCUCUAAGCAUCAGGUAACAUCAAAUCGUACCCCAAACCGACACAGGUGGUCAGGUAGAGAAUACCAAGGCGCUUGAGAGAACUCGGGUGAAGGAACUAGGCAAAAUGGUGCCGUAACUUCGGGAGAAGGCACGCUGAUAUGUAGGUGAAGUCCCUCGCGGAUGGAGCUGAAAUCAGUCGAAGAUACCAGCUGGCUGCAACUGUUUAUUAAAAACACAGCACUGUGCAAACACGAAAGUGGACGUAUACGGUGUGACGCCUGCCCGGUGCCGGAAGGUUAAUUGAUGGGGUUAGCCGCAAGGCGAAGCUCUUGAUCGAAGCCCCGGUAAACGGCGGCCGUAACUAUAACGGUCCUAAGGUAGCGAAAUUCCUUGUCGGGUAAGUUCCGACCUGCACGAAUGGCGUAAUGAUGGCCAGGCUGUCUCCACCCGAGACUCAGUGAAAUUGAACUCGCUGUGAAGAUGCAGUGUACCCGCGGCAAGACGGAAAGACCCCGUGAACCUUUACUAUAGCUUGACACUGAACAUUGAGCCUUGAUGUGUAGGAUAGGUGGGAGGCUUAGAAGUGUGGACGCCAGUCUGCAUGGAGCCGACCUUGAAAUACCACCCUUUAAUGUUUGAUGUUCUAACGUUGACCCGUAAUCCGGGUUGCGGACAGUGUCUGGUGGGUAGUUUGACUGGGGCGGUCUCCUCCUAAAGAGUAACGGAGGAGCACGAAGGUUGGCUAAUCCUGGUCGGACAUCAGGAGGUUAGUGCAAUGGCAUAAGCCAGCUUGACUGCGAGCGUGACGGCGCGAGCAGGUGCGAAAGCAGGUCAUAGUGAUCCGGUGGUUCUGAAUGGAAGGGCCAUCGCUCAACGGAUAAAAGGUACUCCGGGGAUAACAGGCUGAUACCGCCCAAGAGUUCAUAUCGACGGCGGUGUUUGGCACCUCGAUGUCGGCUCAUCACAUCCUGGGGCUGAAGUAGGUCCCAAGGGUAUGGCUGUUCGCCAUUUAAAGUGGUACGCGAGCUGGGUUUAGAACGUCGUGAGACAGUUCGGUCCCUAUCUGCCGUGGGCGCUGGAGAACUGAGGGGGGCUGCUCCUAGUACGAGAGGACCGGAGUGGACGCAUCACUGGUGUUCGGGUUGUCAUGCCAAUGGCACUGCCCGGUAGCUAAAUGCGGAAGAGAUAAGUGCUGAAAGCAUCUAAGCACGAAACUUGCCCCGAGAUGAGUUCUCCCUGACUCCUUGAGAGUCCUGAAGGAACGUUGAAGACGACGACGUUGAUAGGCCGGGUGUGUAAGCGCAGCGAUGCGUUGAGCUAACCGGUACUAAUGAACCGUGAGGCUUAACCUUACAACGCCGAAGGUGUUU
rnacentral:rRNA from 1 species